GUGCUCGCGUUGGCAGCACAUAUACUAAAAUUAGAACGAUACAGAGAAGAUUAGCAUGGCCCCUGCGCACGCAAAUUCGUGAAGCGUUCCAUAUUUUU
rnacentral:snRNA from 1 species